rnacentral:rRNA from 1 species
UACAUACUGUGCGAACGUUUAUUCGGAUUCACUGGGCUUAAAGGGUGCGUAGGCGGCUUGUUAAGUACGGGUGUGAAAGCCCCCAGCUCAACUGGGGAACUGCACUCUAUACUGGCGAGCUGGAGUGAGAUAGGGGUGUGUGGAACUGCCAGUGGAGCGGUGAAAUGUGUUGAUAUUGGCAGGAACGCCGGUGGCGAAAGCGACACACUGGGUCUCAACUGACGCUG